rnacentral:rRNA from 1 species
CAACCUGGUGAUCCUGCCAGUAGUCACACGCUCGUCUCAAAGAUUAAGCCAUGCAUAUCUCAGCUUAAGUUUUCUUACCAUGGUGCUGUGCAUGGCUCAUUAUAACAGCUGUAAUUCAGUGGAUGGUUGCUGCACAUGGAUAUCUGUGGCAAUUCUGUGGCUAAUACAUGCUCAACAACUCAGUCAGUGUGGGUUGUGGUCAUUUCCUCAGAAUCAAUGCAUGCGAUGCCUGCUUGGUUUUCCAAGAAGAAUGACAGAAUGGAUUGCGGUGUUUUCACUGGUGCUGUGCCUUGAAAGUUUCUGACCUACCAGCUGUCGACGGCAGGGUAGUGGCCUGCUGUGGCUGUGACAGGUGACGGAGGAUGAGGGUUUGACUCCGGAGAGGGAGCCUGAGAGAUGGCUACCACAUCUAAGGAAGGCAGCAGGCGCGCAAAUUGCCCAAUCCCAACAGAGGGAGGUAGUGACAAGAAAUAGCAAUACAAGGCAUCCAUGUUUUGUACUUGGAAUGAAUGGCCAGCAAACUUUGUUGUUAGGAUCAAUUGGAGGGCAAGUCUGGUGCCAGCUUGACUGUGUGGUGCACUUCUGGGAGCAUUUACUUUGAGGAAGUAAGGGUGUUCAAAGCAGGUGUUUUGCCUUGGAUGCAGAAGCAUGGAAUAUUGUUUUGAGUCUUGGCCUCAUUUUGUUGGUUUCUGAAGCGAAGGUAGUGUUCAAAGGGGAUGGUUGGGGGCAUUCAUAUUCGACUGUCAGAGGUGAAAUUCUUGAAUUUGUCAAGGAUGGACCAGUGCUAAGGCAUUUGCCAAGGAUGUCUUCAUUGAUCAAGAACGAAAGUUAGGGGAUCGAAGACGAUUAGAUACCGUCAUAGUAUUAACCAUAAACAAUGCCAACUAGAGAUUGGGGGUCGUUACCUGUAGGAUUCUGUCAGCACCUUGCAAGAAAUUUAGGUCUUUGGGUUCCGGGGGGAGUAUGGUCGCAAGGCUGAAACUUAAAGGAAUUGACGGAAGGGCACCACCAGGAGUGGAGCCUGCGGCUUAAUUUGACUCAACACGGGGAAACUUACCAGGUCCUGGCACAAGUGGGAUUGACAGAUUGACAGCUUUUUCUUGAUUCUGUGGGUGGUGGUGCAUGGCCGUUCUUAGUUGGUGGAGUGAUUUGUCUGGUUAAUUCCGUUAACGAACGAGACCUUGACCUGCUAAAUAGUAACACGUAAUUGCGAGUAUGUGGACAACUUCUUAGAGGGACUUUUGUGUGUCUAGCACAAGGAAGUGUGAGGCAAUAACGGGUCUGUGAUGCCCUUUGAUGUUCUGGGCUGCCUGAGCACCUCAUCUUGCCUGAAGUGGCUGGGCAAUCUUUGGAUGGAUCAUUGCAAUUAUUGCUUCUCAACGAGGAAUUCCUAGUAAAUGUGAGUCAUCAACUUGCACUGAUUACGUCCCUGGCCCCGUUGUGGCAUUCAGUUCCUGAGAGGAUCUUCAAGAAAUUCAGUGAACCUUAUCACUUAGAGGACGGAGAAGUCGUAACAAGGUUUCCGUAGGUG